AAGACAAUCAAUUCAUAUGGCAUGCAAUGACCUAUACUCGAUAAUGCUAUCAUCCUAUUAAUAGCAUAUCAUUUGGUCGUGAAUAUUUUUAAGGACUUAAUGAUAAAUCCUCCUUUGUCGAUUAAUUAUAGUCCUAAGGACUUCAUUAUAAUAAAGAAGUUCAAAAAUAGAUAAUUUGUAAUGAAAAUAUCAAAUAAUUUUUUUAAUAAAAAAUUAUAUACAAUUUACAAGAUGAGCAUAAUUGUCUAAUGAUUGAAUUUGGGACAUAUUUUCCAACAACCUCCCACCCC
rnacentral:lncRNA from 1 species